GAUGAACGCUGGCGGCGUGCCUAAUACAUGCAAGUCGAGCGAACGGACGAGAAGCUUGCUUCUCUGAUGUUAGCGGCGGACGGGUGAGUAACACGUGGAUAACCUACCUAUAAGACUGGGAUAACUUCGGGAAACCGUAGCUAAUACCGGAUAAUAUUUUGAACCGCAUGGUUCAAAAGUGAAAGACGGUCUUGCUGUCACUUAUAGAUGGAUCCGCGCUGCAUUAGCUAGUUGGUAAGGUAACGGCUUACCAAGGCAACGAUGCAUAGCCGACCUGAGAGGGUGAUCGGCCACACUGGAACUGAGACACGGUCCAGACUCCUAGGGGAGGCAGCAGUAGGGAAUCUUACGAAAUGGGGGAAAGCCGGACGGAGCAACGCCGCGUGAGGGAUGAAGGUCUUCGGAUGGUAAAACUCUGUUAUUAGGAAAGAACAUAUGUGUAAGUAACUGUGCACAUCUUGACGGUACCUAAGCAGAAAGCCACGGCUAACUACGU
rnacentral:rRNA from 1 species